CUCUUCAGUCUACUCCAGACCUGAAAUGAUUCUAAAAGGACUGGACUAAAUCGAUAAAACAUUGAAAACAAGUUAAAAAGCAUAUACACAAUGGUGUCAAAAACACCAUAUAUCAAUUCCCCCAGACUUAGAAACUUUUUUGUCCUCGAGCAAGGUAAGUAUCAAGAACAUGGAAAAUGUUUGAAAGUGUGGGAACUCUCCUAUUUCUCAAUAACCAUACCU
rnacentral:lncRNA from 1 species